rnacentral:rRNA from 1 species
AUUGAACGCUGGCGGCAUGCUUUACACAUGCAAGUCGAGCGGAGAUGAGGUGCUUGCACCUUAUCUUAGCGGCGGACGGGUGAGUAAUGCUUAGGAAUCUGCCUAUUAGUGGGGGACAACAUUCCGAAAGGAAUGCUAAUACCGCAUACGUCCUACGGGAGAAAGCAGGGGAUCUUCGGACCUUGCGCUAAAUGAUGAGCCUAAGUCGGAUUAGCUAGUUGGUGGGGUAAAGGCCUACCAAGGCGACGAUCUGUAGCGGGUCUGAGAGGAUGAUCCGCCACACUGGGACUGAGACACGGCCCAGACUCCUACGGGAGGCAGCAGUGGGGAAUAUUGGACAAUGGGCGGAAGUCUGAUCCAGCCAUGCCGCGUGUGUGAAGAAGGCCUUUUGGUUGUAAAGCACUUUAAGCGAGGAGGAGGCUACUAGUACUAAUACUACUGGAUAGUGGACGUUACUCGCAGAAUAAGCACCGGCUAACUCUGUGCCAGCCGCCGCCGUAACAC